rnacentral:rRNA from 1 species
UGUCUGAAUAUGGGGGGACCAUCCUCCAAGGCUAAAUACUCCUGACUGACCGAUAGUGAACCAGUACCGUGAGGGAAAGGCGAAAAGAACCCCGGCGAGGGGAGUGAAAAAGAACCUGAAACCGUGUACGUACAAGCAGUGGGAGCCUCUUAAUGGGGUGACUGCGUACCUUUUGUAUAAUGGGUCAGCGACUUAUAUUCUGUAGCAAGGUUAACCGAAUAGGGGAGCCGAAGGGAAACCGAGUCUUAACUGGGCGUUAAGUUGCAGGGUAUAGACCCGAAACCCGGUGAUCUAGCCAUGGGCAGGUUGAAGGUUGGGUAACACUAACUGGAGGACCGAACCGACUAAUGUUGAAAAAUUAGCGGAUGACUUGUGGCUGGGGGUGAAAGGCCAAUCAAACCGGGAGAUAGCUGGUUCUCCCCGAAAGCUAUUUAGGUAGCGCCUCGUGAAUUCAUCUCCGGGGGUAGAGCACUGUUUCGGCAAGGGGGUCAUCCCGACUUACCAACCCGAUGCAAACUGCGAAUACCGGAGAAUGUUAUCACGGGAGACACACGGCGGGGGCUAACGUCCGUCGUGAAGAGGGAAACAACCCAGACCGCCAGCUAAGGUCCCAAAGUCAUGGUUAAGUGGGAAACGAUGUGGGAAGGCCCAGACAGCCAGGAUGUUGGCUUAGAAGCAGCCAUCAUUUAAAGAAAGCGUAAUAGCUCACUGGUCGAGUCGGCCUGCGCGGAAGAUGUAACGGGGCUAAACCAUGCACCGAAGCUGCGGCAGCGACACUAUGUGUUGUUGGGUAGGGGAGCGUUCUGUAAGCCUGUGAAGGUGGCCUGUGAGGGUUGCUGGAGGUAUCAGAAGUGCGAAUGCUGACAUAAGUAACGAUAAAGCGGGUGAAAAGCCCGCUCGCCGGAAGACCAAGGGUUCCUGUCCAACGUUAAUCGGGGCAGGGUGAGUCGACCCCUAAGGCGAGGCCGAAAGGCGUAGUCGAUGGGAAACAGGUUAAUAUUCCUGUACUUGGUGUUACUGCGAAGGGGGGACGGAGAAGGCUAUGUUGGCCGGGCGACGGUUGUCCCGGUUUAAGCGUGUAGGCUGGUUUUCCAGGCAAAUCCGGAAAACCAAGGCUGAGGCGUGAUGACGAGGCACUACGGUGCUGAAGCGACAAAUGCCCUGCUUCCAGGAAAAGCCUCUAAGCAUCAGGUAACAUCAAAUCGUACCCCAAACCGACACAGGUGGUCAGGUAGAGAAUACCAAGGCGCUUGAGAGAACUCGGGUGAAGGAACUAGGCAAAAUGGUGCCGUAACUUCGGGAGAAGGCACGCUGAUAUGUAGGUGAAGCGACUUGCUCGUGGAGCUGAAAUCAGUCGAAGAUACCAGCUGGCUGCAACUGUUUAUUAAAAACACAGCACUGUGCAAACACGAAAGUGGACGUAUACGGUGUGACGCCUGCCCGGUGCCGGAAGGUUAAUUGAUGGGGUUAGCGGCAACGCGAAGCUCUUGAUCGAAGCCCCGGUAAACGGCGGCCGUAACUAUAACGGUCCUAAGGUAGCGAAAUUCCUUGUCGGGUAAGUUCCGACCUGCACGAAUGGCGUAAUGAUGGCCAGGCUGUCUCCACCCGAGACUCAGUGAAAUUGAACUCGCUGUGAAGAUGCAGUGUACCCGCGGCAAGACGGAAAGACCCCGUGAACCUUUACUAUAGCUUGACACUGAACAUUGAGCCUUGAUGUGUAGGAUAGGUGGGAGGCUUUGAAGUGUGGACGCCAGUCUGCAUGGAGCCGACCUUGAAAUACCACCCUUUAAUGUUUGAUGUUCUAACGUUGGCCCGUAAUCCGGGUUGCGGACAGUGUCUGGUGGGUAGUUUGACUGGGGCGGUCUCCUCCUAAAGAGUAACGGAGGAGCACGAAGGUUGGCUAAUCCUGGUCGGACAUCAGGAGGUUAGUGCAAUGGCAUAAGCCAGCUUGACUGCGAGCGUGACGGCGCGAGCAGGUGCGAAAGCAGGUCAUAGUGAUCCGGUGGUUCUGAAUGGAAGGGCCAUCGCUCAACGGAUAAAAGGUACUCCGGGGAUAACAGGCUGAUACCGCCCAAGAGUUCAUAUCGACGGCGGUGUUUGGCACCUCGAUGUCGGCUCAUCACAUCCUGGGGCUGAAGUAGGUCCCAAGGGUAUGGCUGUUCGCCAUUUAAAGUGGUACGCGAGCUGGGUUUAGAACGUCGUGAGACAGUUCGGUCCCUAUCUGCCGUGGGCGCUGGAGAACUGAGGGGGGCUGCUCCUAGUACGAGAGGACCGGAGUGGACGCAUCACUGGUGUUCGGGUUGUCAUGCCAAUGGCACUGCCCGGUAGCUAAAUGCGGAAGAGAUAAGUGCUGAAAGCAUCUAAGCACGAAACUUGCCCCGAGAUGAGUUCUCCCUGAGACUUAGAGUCUCCUGAAGGAACGUUGAAGACGACGACGUUGAUAGGCCGGGUGUGUAAGCGCAGCGAUGCGUUGAGCUAACCGGUACUAAUGAACCGUGAGGCUUAACCUU